UUUCGCUGUAUGUUAUUUUCGUUUAGCUUUAGUUUUAUUAAAUUAGCAUCACGAUUUGUCAGCUGCAUUAUUUGGCCGCUUAAUAUAAACAGAUUGUGUCAAAAACCUCACAGAAUUCAUUCUUUCGCCCACAGGCCACAACAACCCAGUGUUAUUUAAUAGUCGUUCUUUGCUAGAGAUUUAAAACAAUAAUGCCCAUGCAUCGGAUAGCUAAAAUUUAAUUAAACAUCACUGACUGACUCAAUCACUGUCGACAAAUUCGUUAGACCAAGACGCAUGUCAAUGGUUCAAGCCGGA